CACUAUCGUUAACUGAAUACAUAGGUUAACGAGGCGAACCGGGGGAACUGAAACAUCUAAGUACCCCGAGGAAAAGAAAUCAACCGAGAUUCCCCCAGUAGCGGCGAGCGAACGGGGAGCAGCCCAGAGUCUGAAUCAGCUUGUGUGUUAGUGGAACGGUCUGGAAAGUCCGACGGUACAGGGUGAUAGUCCCGUACACCAAAAUGCACAGGCUGUGAACUCGAAGAGUAGGGCGGGACACGUGGUAUCCUGUCUGAAUAUGGGGGGACCAUCCUCCAAGGCUAAAUACUCCUGACUGACCGAUAGUGAACCAGUACCGUGAGGGAAAGGCGAAAAGAACCCCGGCGAGGGGAGUGAAAAAGAACCUGAAACCGUGUACGUACAAGCAGUGGGAGCACCUUCGGGUGUGACUGCGUACCUUUUGUAUAAUGGGUCAGCGACUUAUAUUCUGUAGCAAGGUUAACCGUAUAGGGGAGCCGCAGGGAAACCGAGUCUUAACUGGGCGUUAAGUUGCAGGGUAUAGACCCGAAACCCGGUGAUCUAGCCAUGGGCAGGUUGAAGGUUGGGUAACACUAACUGGAGGACCGAACCGACUAAUGUUGAAAAAUUAGCGGAUGACUUGUGGCUGGGGGUGAAAGGCCAAUCAAACCGGGAGAUAGCUGGUUCUCCCCGAAAGCUAUUUAGGUAGCGCCUCGUGAACUCAUCUUCGGGGGUAGAGCACUGUUUCGGCUAGGGGGUCAUCCCGACUUACCAACCCGAUGCAAACUACGAAUACCGAAGAAUGUUAUCACGGGAGACACACGGCGGGUGCUAACGUCCGUCGUGAAGAGGGAAACAACCCAGACCGCCAGCUAAGGUCCCAAAGUCAUGGUUAAGUGGGAAACGAUGUGGGAAGGCACAGACAGCCAGGAUGUUGGCUUAGAAGCAGCCAUCAUUUAAAGAAAGCGUAAUAGCUCACUGGUCGAGUCGGCCUGCGCGGAAGAUGUAACGGGGCUAAACCAUGCACCGAAGCUGCGGCAGCGACACUAUGUGUUGUUGGGUAGGGGAGCGUUCUGUAAGCCUGCGAAGGUGUGCUGUGAGGCAUGCUGGAGGUAUCAGAAGUGCGAAUGCUGACAUAAGUAACGAUAAAGCGGGUGAAAAGCCCGCUCGCCGGAAGACCAAGGGUUCCUGUCCAACGUUAAUCGGGGCAGGGUGAGUCGACCCCUAAGGCGAGGCCGAAAGGCGUAGUCGAUGGGAAACAGGUUAAUAUUCCUGUACUUGGUGUUACUGCGAAGGGGGGACGGAGAAGGCUAUGUUAGCCGGGCGACGGUUGUCCCGGUUUAAGCAUGUAGGCUGAUUGUCCAGGCAAAUCCGGAUAAUCAAGGCUGAGGUGUGAUGACGAGGCACUACGGUGCUGAAGUAACAAAUGCCCUGCUUCCAGGAAAAGCCUCUAAGCAUCAGGUAACAUCAAAUCGUACCCCAAACCGACACAGGUGGUCAGGUAGAGAAUACCAAGGCGCUUGAGAGAACUCGGGUGAAGGAACUAGGCAAAAUGGUGCCGUAACUUCGGGAGAAGGCACGCUGGUGUGUAGGUGAAGUCCCUGCGGAUGGAGCUGAGACCAGUCGAAGAUACCAGCUGGCUGCAACUGUUUAUUAAAAACACAGCACUGUGCAAACACGAAAGUGGACGUAUACGGUGUGACGCCUGCCCGGUGCCGGAAGGUUAAUUGAUGGGGUUAUCCGUAAGGAGAAGCUCUUGAUCGAAGCCCCGGUAAACGGCGGCCGUAACUAUAACGGUCCUAAGGUAGCGAAAUUCCUUGUCGGGUAAGUUCCGACCUGCACGAAUGGCGUAAUGAUGGCCAGGCUGUCUCCACCCGAGACUCAGUGAAAUUGAACUCGCUGUGAAGAUGCAGUGUACCCGCGGCAAGACGGAAAGACCCCGUGAACCUUUACUAUAGCUUGACACUGAACAUUGAGCCUUGAUGUGUAGGAUAGGUGGGAGGCUUUGAAGCGUGGACGCCAGUCUGCGUGGAGCCAACCUUGAAAUACCACCCUUUAAUGUUUGAUGUUCUAACGUUGGCCCCUGACCGGGGUUGCGGACAGUGUCUGGUGGGUAGUUUGACUGGGGCGGUCUCCUCCCAAAGCGUAACGGAGGAGCACGAAGGUUAGCUAAUCCUGGUCGGACAUCAGGAGGUUAGUGCAAUGGCAUAAGCUAGCUUGACUGCGAGCGUGACGGCGCGAGCAGGUGCGAAAGCAGGUCAUAGUGAUCCGGUGGUUCUGAAUGGAAGGGCCAUCGCUCAACGGAUAAAAGGUACUCCGGGGAUAACAGGCUGAUACCGCCCAAGAGUUCAUAUCGACGGCGGUGUUUGGCACCUCGAUGUCGGCUCAUCACAUCCUGGGGCUGAAGUAGGUCCCAAGGGUAUGGCUGUUCGCCAUUUAAAGUGGUACGCGAGCUGGGUUUAGAACGUCGUGAGACAGUUCGGUCCCUAUCUGCCGUGGGCGCUGGAGAAUUGAGGGGGGCUGCUCCUAGUACGAGAGGACCGGAGUGGACGCAUCACUGGUGUUCGGGUUGUCAUGCCAAUGGCACUGCCCGGUAGCUAAAUGCGGAAGAGAUAAGUGCUGAAAGCAUCUAAGCACGAAACUUGCCCCGAGAUGAGUUCUCCCUGAGACUAUAAGUCUCCUGAAGGAACGUUAAAGACGAUGACGUUGAUAGGCCGGGUGUGUAAGCGCAGCGAUGCGUUGAGCUAACCGGUACUAAUGAACCGUGAGGCUUAACCUU
rnacentral:rRNA from 1 species